rnacentral:rRNA from 1 species
CCUACGGGUGGCAGCAGUCGAGAAUCAUUCACAAUGGGGGAAACCCUGAUGGUGCGACGCCGCGUGGGGGAAUGAAGGUCUUCGGAUUGUAAACCUCUGUUAUGUGGGAGCAAAUUAAAAAGAUAGUACCACAAGAGGAAGAGACGGCUAACUCUGUGCCAGCAGCCGCGGUAAUACAGAGGUCUCAAGCGUUGUUCGGAAUCACUGGGCGUAAAGGGUGCGUAGGCUGUUUCGUAAGUCGUGUGUGAAAGGCGCGGGCUCAACCCGCGGACGGCACAUGAUACUGGGAGACUAGAGUAAUGGAGGGGGAACCGGAAUUCUCGGUGUAGCAGUGAAAUGCGUAGAUAUCGAGAAGAACACUCGUGGCGAAGGCAGGUUCCUGGACAGUAACUGACGCUGAGGCACGAAGGCCAGGGGAGCGAAAGGGAUUAGAUACCCCUGUAGUC